rnacentral:rRNA from 1 species
UACGUAGGUGGCGAGCGUUGUCCGGAUUUAUUGGGCGUAAAGCGCGCGCAGGCGGUUGCCUAAGUCUGCUGUGAAAUCUCCCGGCUCAACUGGGAGGGGGCGGCGGAGACUGGGUGACUGGAGGGACCUAGAGGCCGUGGAAUUCCCGGUGUAGUGGUGAAAUGCGUAGAGUAUCGGGAGGAACACCAGUGGCGAAAGGCGACUC